rnacentral:rRNA from 1 species
UACGUAGGGUGCAAGCGUUGUCCGGAAUUAUUGGGCGUAAAGAGCUCGUAGGCGGUCUGUCGCGUCUGCUGUGAAAACUCAGGGCUUAACCCUGAGCUUGCAGUGGGUACGGGCAGACUAGAGUGCGGUAGGGGAGACUGGAAUUCCUGGUGUAGCGGUGAAAUGCGCAGAUAUCAGGAGGAACACCGGUGGCGAAGGCGGGUCUCUGGGCAGUAAACUGACGCUGGAGGAACGAAAGCGUGGGUAGCGAACAGG